GACGAACGCUGGCGGUGUGCUUAACACAUGCAAGUCGAACGGUAAGGCCCUUUCGGGGGUCCACGAGUGGCGAACGGGUGAGUAACACGUGAGUAACCUGCCCUCAUCUCUGGGAUAACAGUCGGAAACGGUUGCUAAUACUGGAUAUGAGCUUGCGAGGCAUCUUGUGGGUUGGAAAGAUUUUUUUUGGUUGGGGAUGGACUCGCGGCCUAUCAGCUUGUUGGUGAGGUAGUGGCUCACCAAGGCUUCGACGGGUAGCCGGCCUGAGAGGGCGACCGGCCACAUUGGGACUGAGAUACGGCCCAAACUCCUACGGGAGGCAGCAGUGGGGAAUAUUGCACAAUGGACGGAAGUCUGAUGCAGCAACGCCGCGUGCGGGAUGACGGCCUUCGGGUUGUAAACCGCUUUCAAUUGUGACGAAGCGUUUUUGUGACGGUAGCAGUAGAAGAAGCACCGGCUAACUACGUG
rnacentral:rRNA from 1 species